rnacentral:snRNA from 1 species
AGCUUUGUGCAGUGGCGGUAUGGUAGCCAAUGAGGUUUAUCCGAGGCGCGAUUAUUGCUAAUUGGAU